rnacentral:rRNA from 1 species
UAACCUUGCGGCCGUACUCCCCAGGCGGUCUACUUAAUGCGUUAGCUUGAGAGCCCAGUGUUCAAGACACCAAACUCCGAGUAGGCAUCGUUUACGGCGUGGACUACCAGGGUAUCUAAUCCUGUUUGCUCCCCACGCUUUCGUGCCUGAGCGUCAGUCUUUGUCCAGGGGGCCGCCUUCGCCACCGGUAUUCCUCCAGAUCUCUACGCAUUUCACCGCUACACCUGGAAUUCUACCCCCCUCUACAAGACUCUAGUUCGCCAGUUCGAAAUGCAAUUCCCAGGUUGAGCCCGGGGCUUUCACAUCUCGCUUAACAAACCGCCUGCGCACGCUUUACGCCCAGUAAUUCCGAUUAACGCUCGGACCCUCCGUAUUACCGCGGCUGCUGGCACGGAGUUAGCCGGUCCUUCUUCUGUAGGUAACGUCACAGUAAUAGCGUAUUAAACUAUUACCUUUCCUCCCUACUGAAAGUGCUUUACAACCCGAAGGCCUUCUUCACACACGCGGCAUGGCUGCAUCAGGGUUUCCCCCAUUGUGCAAUAUUCCCCA